GCCAAGAUAGUUAAAAAAAUAACAUUAGGUCGUGACCCUAAAAAUAGAGUUAAGAACUCUUCCCGGCC
rnacentral:tRNA from 1 species